rnacentral:lncRNA from 1 species
CUCAUCAUAAUCCUCCUGUCUCAGCUUUGUGAAUGCUGUGAUAUUACAUAUAAGCUACCAUGCCUGACUCGGGGUAUUAAAGUACCAGACGGGCCCUCUGGGAUAAGGGAAGCCAUUACAGGUUUCCUGUAAGCCUUGUCCUUGGGAAAGCAUUUUGAGGGAUUUUAGACCGGGGUGAAAUAAUGCUGGGGAAAACAGCAAAGAACCUGUGCAUAAAGUAGCAUCAAGUGGUGAACAAGGUAUCAGAAAGGUAAACAAGCUGCCUUACUUUCCAGAAAGUGUUAGUCUCCUUCCUCUCACCAGAGACUGUGCUGGCCUUGCUGCUCAAGAGCCCCAAGCCAGCCAGGCAAGACCCUGCCAUUGAGCCACAGCACAGCCAGCUUAGCUGUCUCCUCCCUUAGCUAUCUCCUCCCUUAGCUGUCUCCUCCCUUAGCUGUCUCCUCCCUUAGCUGUCUCCUCCCUCAGCUGUCGUCUCCUCCCUCCUGCAGGCGGCCAGAUCAGCUUUGAUGUGUUUCCUGAUGGUUGGGACAAGCGCUAUUGCCUGAGGCACCUGGAGCAAGCUGGCUAUAAGACCAUUUAUUUCUUUGGAGACAAGACUAUGCCAGGUGGCAAUGACCAUGAGAUCUUCACAGACCCCAGAACUGUGGGCUACACAGUGACAGCACCUGAAGACACACGCAGGAUCUGUGAGGAGCUCUUCCCUUAACCGCAGAGGAAUGCACUCCUGGUCAACAACACUGAAAGGGGCAUCGGAUGAUGAAAACGACAAGCCAUCCAGAAUCAUCCAUCUGGGAUAGGACUGAAGACUUCCAUGACAUGCUCCCACUCUGCAGUCUGUGGUGGAGGCUGGGGCAUGACCAAAGGGCUAAUGUCUGUUUUCAAGCCAGCUUCCCAUCUGUGAGCCGCAGACCAGUGUGAUCUGCCUGAGGUAGAUGGCCAAGCGACAGCUGAUCCCACAGUUUGCACCUCCACUGGCUUGGCCGUCUCUGUUUGCUACAUCUGAAAGCCAGACUGCUCUCCUGUCUCCAGCAGGAGGGGAAGACAGAGGACCCAACAAACCAGAACCUCGCUGUGGUCCUCUUUAACCCCCAAGCUGCCCAACCCAGGUAACAGACACAGUUCCUGAGGCAUCAGAGGCAGCUUCGUGGUCACAGCA